AUAAAAGAAAAGAUGGCCAGAUAUUAUCACAGGGAUUCUGGAAAAACAUGAUGUUUCUGAAUUUGAUUGAUUUCCAAGGAUUCUUCCAGCAUAAUUGUAUAGUCUUCUUCAAAAACUAUGUGUACAAAAGAGCUUUGGGCAGAGUAAAAAAGCUUCCACAGAGGAGGAAAGAUGUUUUUG